rnacentral:tRNA from 1 species
GGGAGUAAGCGCAGGAUGUGCCGUCCGGUCUCCAAAACCGGAUCGCCAGGGUUCGAUUCCCCGUGCUCCCG